GGUUUUCUCUGCUCCUUGGAAUUUGCCUCUGGUUCUGCAGGCCUUGACGGAACAUCCCUUCGAACCUAUUGAUGAGGUCUCUAUGCAGGUUCUUUCUCUCAAGACCCUGUUGUUACUGGCCUUGGUAUCUGCUAGGAGAAUGUCGGAUAUUAGAGCACUGUCGUCUGAAGAACAGUUCACUACCUUCUUCGAUGAUAGAGUUGUGCUACGGCCUAGACCUGAGUUCCUUCCUAAGGUGGUUACAUCCUUUCAUCUGAAUCAAGUGAUUGUCCUGCCAGGGUAUUUUCAGGAGCCAUCGUCUCCUGAGGAAGAAAAAUGUCAUACGCUAGACCUAAGGAGGUGUCUUUCCACAUAUAUUUCACGCUCAGCUGAUUGGAGGAAGUCUACC